UUUUUUUUUCUUCAAAAAAUGAAAAACAUUGAAAUUUUAAAUUUUAACAUCUCCAACACAAUCAUAACAUAAGCAUUCUAACUAGAAUCAAAGACAAUGAAAAUAAACAUUUAAAGUUGAACUAAAAUCAUCAAUCAAGUCUUCCAAAGUCCAAACUAACAACCUCACAACAUAAAAAUCGUACAAAUGACUUAGAAAAGUUAAAUUGUAUGAUGUUGUUCAAGGAUCAGGGUUGUAUGCUUGUAACUGCAUGUCGACAACUUGAUUAGUAAAAGUAAUGAGUGGGUGGAUUUAUUUAGUGUGUGUUGGAUUCUUUUCCAUCACAAAUUACGCAAGUAAUCUACCCAAAAUAAAUGUUUAUGGAUUCUGUUACAUGUUAUAUGAGAGUAGAUUUGGAAAAGAAAGCUGGGACAGAAGUAGACAGUGCUAUGAAGAUGGAUGUAGGUACUUCAGGAGGAGGUUUGGUUCCGGAACCUUAUAUGGGGGAGAAAUAAUAGGUUAGGGUUUAGAGUUUUUAUAGGCCUUUUUUAAUAUUUUGAGCUUAAAGUUUGGCAACACAUUGGGUUUAGCACAUUUUAA
rnacentral:lncRNA from 1 species